GGAUUAGAUACCCUGGUAGUCCACGCCGUAAACGAUGUCUACUAGCCGUUGGGGGGAUUUACCCUUUAGUGGCGCAGCUAACGCACUAAGUAGACCGCCUGGGGAGUACGGCCGCAAGGCUAAAACUCAAAGAAAUUGACGGGGGCCCGCACAAGCGGUGGAGCAUGUGGUUUAAUUCGAUGCAACGCGAAGAACCUUACCUACCCUUGACAUCAUCAGAACUUGUCAGAGAUGACUCGGUGCCUUCGGGAACUGAUUGACAGGUGCUGCAUGGCUGUCGUCAGCUCGUGCCG
rnacentral:rRNA from 1 species